rnacentral:piRNA from 1 species
UCCAAGCUAUGUGAUAUGGUUCAUUCCCUG